rnacentral:rRNA from 1 species
UACGUAGGUGGCAAGCGUUGUCCGGAAUUACUGGGUGUAAAGGGAGCGCAGGCGGGAAGCCAAGUCAGCUGUGAAAACUACGGGCUUAACUUGUAGACUGCAGUUGAAACUGGUUUUCUUGAGUGAAGUAGAGGUUGGCGGAAUUCCGAGUGUAGCGGUGAAAUGCGUAGAUAUUCGGAGGAACACCGGUGGCGAAGGCGGCUUACUGGACAGAAACUGACACUGAGGCUCGAAAGCGUGGGGAGCAAACAGG